rnacentral:misc_RNA from 1 species
CAAACUUAUCCUCUCAAUGUCUUGUGAUUCAUUAUAUGUGGUGAAACUAAUCCCUAAAAAUUAUAGGGCUCAUGAACAAAUAUAGCAACCAUAAAUACAUCCAUGCAUCAAACAGCAAUCCCAUUCUGUUCUACCACAUAAUUGUGUAAACUAUAAACCAUAACCAGAGUAUGAUAUGGUUCACAACUCAGAAGUCCAAUAUGUGCAAGCAAUAACAAACCAGUAAGCGAUAUUGAAG